rnacentral:lncRNA from 1 species
AGGUUUUCUAUAUGAAGCUUCUUAGCUUACCAUGGGGUGCUAUACUAAAUCAUAUCUAGUAGUGGUGAGGGGGAGGUGGUGAUGCAUAGACAUAGUGUGGUGGAGGUGGAGAGGGAUACUUAGGUGGAGGUGGAGGUGACUUGUAAUAGUAAGCUGGGGGAGGAGGAGAAGGGUACUUGUAUGGUGGAGGUGGAGGAGAUGGGUACUUGUAAGGAGGAGGAGGAGAUUUGUACUUGUAAACAGGUGGUGGAGGAGAUGGGUACUUGUAUGGUGGAGGUGGAGGAGAUGGGUACUUGUAAGGAGGAGGAGGAGAUUUGUACUUGUAAACAGGUGGUGGAGGAGAUGGAUACUUGUAUGGAGGGGGUGGAGGAGAAGGGUAUUUGUAGGGAGGUGGUGGUGACUUGUACUUGUAGACUGGAGGUGGUGGUGAUUUGUACUUGUAGACUGGAGGUGGUGGUGACUUGUACUUGUACACUGGUGGUGGGGGUGAUGGAUAUUUGUAAGGCUUCUUAGGAGGUGGUGGUGGUGACUUGUACUUGUAAACCGGAGGUGGUGGUGACUUGUACUUAUAAACUGGUGGUGGUGGAGAAGGGUAUUUGUAAGGCUUCUUAGGAGGUGGUGGAGGAGAUGAGUACUUAUAGGGUGGAGGUGGUGACUUAUUCUUGUAAAUUGGUGGUGGAGAAGAAGGGUACUUGUAUGGUGGUGAAGGAUGGUGAUAAGGAUGCUUGGGAGGUGAGUACUCUUGUGGUGGUGGAGAGUGGUAGUAGUAAGGGUUCUUAGGGGGUGGUGGAGGAGAUGAAUAGGGGUAGUUAUCAGCUGAGGUUUGAGAUGGCAAGCUUAGAGACACUAUUGCCAACACAAGAGUAAGAGUAAUAGAGGCCAUUAGAGACCCCAUUUCUCCCAACUUCUAAAAGGGUUUUGUUGUGCUAUUAGCAAAGGUACUAAACCCUAUAUAUAGUUUUUUUUUUACCAAGCUAACAUAUAAACUCAUUAAUCAUCUUGGAAGCAGCCCCUUUUUGACUUGAUCUAUUCAACUUAACUCUAUUCAAAUUUCUGGAACAUUUAAAUAUAUAAAUCUCUAUAAGGCAGUAAAUAUGAAACCAUAAAUUAAGAGUUAAAUUUCUCUUACAAAUUCUAUUUAAUUUGCAUAAACUACAUGAGAAACGUUUUAUAAAUUAGUUUUUAUGCAAGUAAAUUUAAAUCAUAAAAAAUGGUUAGUUCAUUUUUUUUCUUGUAAAUGUUUGUGUGAAAAACUCUUUCAAACAAAACCAAAGUCUACAUGAAUGGCAAUUAUAAUAUUAUUUAAAUUUAAUUAUCUCAUCAUUGUAUAAAAUACUAUCAGUAAAUGAAUUAUUGAGAGAUGUGAUAUCGCGUUUCAAUUGGACUUUUUAUUGUGGUUACCCGUACAAGAAAGUUGUUACAAUGCAUUUUGUCCUUGUAUGUACGAUGAAAAGGAAAAUAAAUAUAUAAAAUAAAGUUAAGAGAAAAGAGGUAAAGAAAAAUAUAGAUUAGUUAUAUUUCGUGUUGGACCAAUAAUAUAGAUUUUGAUCGAAGACUGCAAUCUAAUUUAGCAAAGGAAAGUAUCCAACUAAACAGCUGGUAAUAUUGACGUUACCUUUUUUUUUUUCUCUGUAGAAAAAGACACCAACCUUGUUUAACUAUUUUAGCUUUGUAUGAGCAAUUUUUUUAAGACUAAAAUAUUCAAAAGCAAAAGAAGUCUUCAUGAUACUACUUUUCAAUUUCUGUCACUUUGCUCCUUUAUUUGUUUGCAUACCAAACUUUGAAAACCAGGUAUGUUAUUGCCUAACUAUCAUAUUUUUCACUUAAUUUGGCAAUGAAAUUUUAUUCAAUAACAUAAUCAAUACUAUUUCUUGAAGAACACUUUUCUAAAAUGAUAUAAAAAUCCCUAAAAUACUUUUAUUUAUUUAUUGUACAUUAAAAAAACUAUUAAUAGUGAUAAUGACAUGAGAAAACUGUACCCUUGUAAAUGUAUAAUUUGAAGAGUAAUACACUUGGGGUCUAGAAGAAAUGUUCACUUGUUUCACUUUAUUUAUGAAAUAUUGAACACCGUAAGGCACUCAAGUAUUACUUAUUAAUAACUUAGUCCAACCUUGAUUUAGUUUAUAUUUUUGUCAAAUUGCAACACGUAAGUCAUGAGGCACACAUAAUUCUAUGUAUUGCUUGUAGCACAAUACAUGGUCUUCCGAAGGAAGUAUCUUAAGGUCCAUGCUUAAUAAAUUGAUGUUGAAAAUUGAGGUUGUAUAUAUAUGUUAUAUAUGUGAGUGAAAAUAGAUUAGGUCAAAUACUAUCUAGAUCAUAAUUAUUUUAUUGAAGUCUAAUAUCUAUUAUAAAUUAUUUUUAAAAAUGUUGGUAAAACCUAUUGUGAAGUUUAUGAAAAUCAAUUUAUUAUAUUUUUAAUCAACAAUUAUUACAAGAAAAUCAUCAAAUAGAAACCAAUUUUUAGAGAUCAAAAUAAUUAGUUGCAGUAGUAACUAAAUUAGAGACCAUUUUAGAAACUAAAAUAAAAAUUUGAUUUCCAAAUUAGUUUCUAUUAUUGUUAAAUAGUGUCUAAAUUGGUAUCUAAUUAGCAACCAAUGUUUUAACUACCAAUUAUUUAGAUUCUAAAUUUGGUUGCAAAAAUCUUGGUUGCUAAUUAGAUACCAAUUUAGAAACCAUUUAACAAUAAUAGAAACUAAUUUAGAAACCAAAAAUUGAUUUAGUCCCUAAAAUGGUGUCUAAUUUAGUCACUAUAACAACUAAUUAUUUUUUGUUUCUAUUUCAUGAUUUUUUUAUAGUCAAUAAAUAAUUUUUAUAUAAAAAUAGAGAAUCCUUAAAGUAUUCUUAUCCUUUCCGGAAAAAAUAUCAUACCAAAAAAAAAAAAAUAAUAUAUAUAUAUAUAUAUAUAUAUAUAUAUAUAUAUAUAUAUAUAUUUAAGUCCUCUUCUAUAGAAAAAGAAAAAUAAUGAAUUCCCGUUAUAGAUCUAUAUAUUGAUGGUUAAUAUCAUAGUUUGGUUGUAUAAGAUAAUAUUUGCUCCAUUCUUCAUAGUUUAUCCAAUCUUUUGCUUUUUUAUAUUUUAAAAAAUAAAAAUAAAUAAAUAAAUGUGAACUAUUUUAGAGACAAUCAACAAUUAUACGACCAAAAAAAUACUUAAUUUUAUCCUUCUCUACUUAAAAACAAAAUACCUGCAACCACCUAAAAUCCUAUUAAGAAUCCGAUCAACAACUUAAUACAUCAUUUAAUAAUCUUAUAAUCUUAUGCUUGUUGCUGUUGUUCUUGGAGGCCUCCUUAUCUACCUAAUUAAACAAUAGGAGAGCAAUAGAAGUCCAGGACAAUAGGAAUAUUGAUAAGUGAACAGGCUCUUGGCCCUGUAGGGAUGAUGCAAGCUAUUUACAAGAUAUAUACAUCUAAAAGUUCUCAAAUUAACUCUUAGUGCUCAUCCUCUUACAUGCCCCUCACAAAUAAAAGUUUAAUACGCGUGUAUCAAAACCUAUACACUACCCAGUGUAUCUUUCCAAAACAUUACAGUCACAGUAUAAAUAAACAGCUUCCAUAGAGUCAACAACAGUUUCAACCCAAAAAAGCUAACAUGCAUCAUAUCCAGUUCCGGUUGCAUCAUAACCUCCAAAUAUCUCCUCUACUGCUCAUCACUACCUCUGCUCUACACCUUCUAACUACAGGUUUUGUCAAGUCAGUCAAUGAUGAAUAUACACGUCUUUCAUUUGGCUCAUGUAAGGAUUACUGCAGCUAUUAAAACCAAGGAGGGAAGAAAGGGUGUAGCAAUAAUGAUGUUUGGCCCCCACAACAUUAGAACCACAUAGUAUAACAUGCAAUAGUGGUCUACCUACCCUCAGUAUCUUAUCUUACAAGUGCCUAAGACUCCUGUAUAUCAUUGUUUUAAAUUUAUCUGGCCAAACCUGUAGCCACUACAUAUUCGCUUUUUCAACCAGUCUACCAUUUUUUCCCUUUUGAACCUAAUUAUUCCUUCUAUUGAACUCCCCUGACUCCCCCAAUGUUGUUUCUUAAUUUUGAGACCGUGUCAUUUUUUCCUUUAACCCUCAUUUUGACACAAACACUUUCACACAUGUAAUUUAUAAAAUACAGGAUAUGAAAAUAUAAAUCUAUAUAUUAUAAAUCAUCAUAAAUUAUAUAAAUUGACAGUGUGAUUUAUGUGAAUAAGAUUAGUCGAAUAUAACAAAAAUGAAUAUUAUUUAUUCAUCUGUGUAAAAUUCAAAAAGUGCAAAAAGAAUAUAAUUCAUUUAAGACAUUUCAUCCCUUUCUUGAUCACCAUAGUUUAAAAAGAUACUUUGAUUUAAAUUCAUUUAAAGAUAAAUUAAUAACUUUAGAAAAAAUCAUUUUAUAUAAAGAUAUGUUCACAGAUUAAAUAAAAGCAUUUUCAAUAAUAUAUAUAUAUAUAUAUAUAUAACUAAACUAUUUCCGAUAUAUAUAGAGUCUGUUUUUUAUUUUUAUAAUCUUAAUAGAAACUUAUAUAAUAAGUUUGAAUUUUUAGAAAAUCAUUUUAUUUGUCAAUUUUAAAAUUGUGUUUGAAUUGUCAGAGACCCAAAAAAUAUAUUUUGAAAUGGAAACUUCACUGAUACGUGUCAUAUGCGUGUCAGUGUCUGAUAAUUAAUAUAUAUUUGUUCUGUGUCUAUCCUUUCAUUUCUAAAGAAACCUCCAUUACUUUGGUUCCAUGUGCUUCAUACUAUAAAUAUCCACGUACAUCUUCAUAUCCUAUUUCCAUUAUCAUUUGGCUCCAUUAUAGUUUGGUUGUGGUAUAUUGUUUGAUGGACAACCGAUUACACAUAUUUCACAUCUCCACUAGUGCAAAAUGUAAAAACAACGACUAUUUAUUUAAUGCGUUUUUACGAUUAGACGUUGUCAUUCAAAACACAAUGGCCUUUUUGAAAUUAACUUCACUUACGAUGCGACUAUUUGUAAUAGCCGCAUUCUUAAAUCAUUUUUUACUCUAACUUUGAAGUGCGCCACUUACGCUUUCAUACUUGCUUUUUUCUUGGUAUGCAUUUUCUCUUUGUUUAUGCUCUAGUGUUCCUCUCUUCUUCUAUGAGCUUCAUUAUCUUCUCGUGCCAUAGUAAGUUUGUUUCGAUCAACUCUCUUUAUUCUUCACCAAUGCUUUAUAACUUUUUUUUUUUAUUUCUCUUAUUUGUUUUCUUGCACUGCUCGAAGUACCAUUGUUUCAUUGCAUUCUUCGCUGCUUGUUUGAGUUUUUGCUUUGCUCCGUCACUGCUACCGUCGCCGUUGUCGGUCCCGCGCCAUUCUUCACCACCACUGUUGCCUUCAUGCACAAGGUUGGUGGUGUUUUACUUUUAUUUUUAUUUUGAAUUUUUUUUAAUGUUAUGAAUUUGUUUAUUUUUUAUUUAUUAUUAUUAUUUGUAUUUUUAAAAAUUUAUAUUAUUUUUUUAGGUUAGAAUAGAAUUAUUAAAUUAUUAGAUGGUAGAUACAUUUAUCUUAUUUAAUAAAUAUAGUUAAUUUAAUAAUUUUUAAUUUGUAUAUUUAGUAUUUAUUAUUAAUUUAUAUUAUGUUAGUUGUUAGUUUAUAAUAGAAUUAUCGUGUUGGUAUUGAGUCUGAGGGUGUUCGACCCUUGGCAAUUGAUAUGUGCUGGUAUUGAGUCUAGGGGUGUUCGACCCUCUGCAAAGUGAGAGCGAACACUCAUUAGAAAACACCUGAAUGACUAUUACAUAAUAUAAUUGAUCAAAAUUGGAUUAAUUCUGUUUCCAUAAGUGAUGAGUACGAAAGAGGAGUAGAAGAAUUUAUACAAUUUGCGCAACGUAACGCGAAUAAUAAUGGUCAUGAUGGAGCAAAAAUUAGGUGUUUGUGCGUUAAUUGUUUGAAUGGAAGGAUAUUGGAUGUUAAGAAAAUCAGAGAGCACCUUCUGUGUGAUGAGUUUCUUCGAUCUUAUACAACUUGGACAUGGCAUGGUGAAUAAUUAAAUUUACCACGUUUUUCUGUAACUGAAGAAUAUGUGGGGUCCACCAUGGAUGAAGUAGUACAUGAUGAUCGAUUGGAGGACAUGAUUCGUGAUGUGAGAGUUGAGUGUUUUGCAGAAGGGCAACAACGUGAUCUAGCACCCUAGUAAGAUUUCAAGCCUAGGCAACUCGACACUUGUACAAUUCAGAGGGGAAAAACCUCUUCUUAGUAAGAUUCUGAGUCCAAGCACCCUGAAUUGCCCUAAGAUUGUUUGGCCUAAGGUAGGUAAGCCAACCUACCUCGGUGUUGAAGAGUAGACUUGGAGUGAAAGCCAACACCCAAGUCAGAUACUCCGACCAAAGUCAUUAAGGAGUAGGCUUAGCGUGUGAGCCAACACCCAAGUUAGAUAGUCCAAGCGCAAUAGAGUAAGGCAACCCUUUCUUGGGAAGAUUCCAAGUCUAGGUGUUAUGAAAUUCGUAGUGAUUCAGAUGGGACAACGUUUUGCUCAGUGAGAUUCUAAGCUCAUGUGCCCAGAAUCAUAAGUCAGCCAUAACUAAGACUGUUUGGCUUAAACGGGAGGUCAACCUAUUUCGGUAAGACUCCGAGUUCAGGCACCUUGAUCAUGCAUUAUGAGGGAAAAUGGCCUACCUGAGUAAGACUCCGAGUUUAGGCACCCAAAGUAUCCACCAUGAGAUAGUUUGCUCUCUUCUCCGUAAGAUUUUGAGUUUGGAGGUACUUAGGUACGACUCGCUAUGAAUGAGAAGGCGUGGCUAAAGACAGGCAAGGCAACCUUACUCGGCCAGAAUACCUGAGUAGGCGCUAUGAGAAAAUUGUGUACCCACCACGACGCUGGAAAAAGCACUCCAGCUCGGACACUCUGUGGAAAAGCUAAGGUAAAAUUUGUAGGGUAACAAUACACCAUGAGAAUGUCAAAAGUAGGGUGGUUUGUGAACCAACACACAAGCCAGAUACUCCAAGCAAUAAGAAUACCUGAGGAGUAUACUUGAUGGUGUAAACCAACACACAACUCAAAUACUCCAAGCGAUAAAGUUCUCGAAUAGUAGACUUGAUGGUGUAAACCAAUACACAAGUCAGAUACUCUAAGAAAUAAAGUUCUCGAAGAGUAGACUCGGUGUGUAAGCCAACACACAUCUCGAAUACUUCAAGACUAAUGAAGUCAUUUAAGAUCAAACCUAGUGUUUGAGCUAACACCCAAGUCAGAUGCUUUAAACAAAGUAAAAAGGUUCAAGAGUUGACUUGGUGUGUAAAGCUAACACAUGGGUCAAAGGCUCUAAACAAAGGUAAUUGUUUAAUAGUAGACUUGGUGUAGGGAUUGGCACUCAAGUAAGAUACUCAGAUCAUCCCCAACGAUGGGGAUGGGUGUGUGCGGAAAACGGAUAGCCCUUUCAAGCAUACAAGUCCUGUACGACAAGAUCUAAAACGCUAAGACCUUGUUCAUGUGACUAGUCAACAUGUGAACAAGCGAGACACUCUUCGCAGACAAAGGGUAUAAGUCAUACACAGGUUAUCUCUAUAGGAGCAUUGUGAUUUCCCUUUCUGGUCUGGCACAUUACAUUGUUAAAGUAGUUAGUUAUGUUACCGCUGGAUGAUAAGGCUAUGCUAGUCAAGGCAUGCAAUAUACUAGUCGAAGUGUGCCAAAAGUUAAACGAGUUGGAUAAAUGAGUUAAGGCACUGCUACAUACAAGAUUUUAUAAAUUUAAUAUUGUUCAAAGGGUUACACAAGGUAGCUGAUUACAAGAGGAUGCUACUCAUCCACAAGACGACCAUCUACCACCAUUUUUUUCCAAACCAAGUUGGGAGAAAUCCAUCUCUAGGUAGAUUCCUAAGGCUUGUGUGACGACAUCUUCAAAGCUCGUCAUGUAUGAGUUAGCAGCAUCGCCAGUGAGAGCUUCCCUCUCUUGCACCUACUCCUCACCCUUUCGGAUCAGCUCUUCAUCCUUCUUGGUCAGCUCCCCCUUUAGUCUUUCCACUUCAGCUUGGAGCUCCGUGUUCUUGUUGGAUAAUUCUAGGGCUUCCUUGGAAUUCUCAGUCAGGAGAGUCAUAGCCUCUUCUUGUGUUCGCUGGAGCUCUUCGAGGAGUCUGGCUGUUUCUUGCUUGAGACCCUCCACCUGCUGCGAAAGCUCGACAACCUUGUGAGAUUCCUCUUUAGCUGAGCCUUUCCACCCCCGCAUCUUGGAAAUGGCCAAACAAUUGGCAGCCAAGGCCUGCCCCAGUUGCCUCACUGCCUGCUCCACUGGCUGGUCCUCCUCCAGGCUCUCCAACUUUUCCUUGGCCUUGGCGGAUAGGAGGAUCUUCUUGAGGAAAGAAGGGGCAUCCAAGCUAGGAUCCCACAGUCUUCCCUCUGGAGCGCUUGUACCCUCAUCCUCCUGCACCACCACCAUGUCACGAGAAUGAGGUGGGCUUGGCAGAGGGGCUUGUGGAGAAGGAGCACGCCCAUCUAAGACAGAAUGCUCAGAGGGCUCGGUGUCAGCCUUGCACCUCCUUUUGAAGACCGACUCGGAAUAGGUCUCCUCAUCUUCAGUAGGAGCAGGGACAACCUCAGCAACAACUUUAAGCUUCAGGUCCUGGACAGGGCGAGCUUUGGUCGUUUCCUUCAUCUUCUUGGUCGUGGUUGCCACGUCCUUCUUGUUCAAUCUACCCAGCAUACUGUCUGCAAAAGAACAAAGGUAGAUCAACAAGCAAACACACAAGUUAACAUCAGUAAGAGCAAGAGGACGAAGGAUACCAAUGUAAGCUUUUAAUCCUACUGGGGAGAACUUUUUACUUAUGAGGGUUCGUGUGUCAAAAACUACCUUCAAGUUGGAGAAGAAGAGGCACACCUCUUGGUCCCAUUGUGGCAUGUCCUUUAGGCACCGAGCACCUUGGAAGUUGGGGUUCUGGGUCCAGUACAAAGGGAACCCAUGAAGAAGGAUAGCGUCCCUCUUGUUGCAGCGAAUUUUCAAAAACUUGCCCUUAAAACCCUUGUAAGACUAUUGGAACAGCGAAAUAAAUGCUCUCUCAACCACUCCAUUGAAGGAGACCCAUAGUUGGCAGCCCAGGAGUUUGGCCUCAAAGAAAUAUAAAAAGACCUCUACAAAUGACAGAUGGCCGAUAAGGGUGCAGAGAAUGGAAAAACCCCGAACAAAUGCCCAACUAUUUGGAUGUAGCUAGGUUGGGGAGACAUUUAUUUCAGUGAGGAGUUCUUUUUCAAAGUUAUACAAAGGUAAGCGAACAAGAACCUUUUUUAAGACAGUGGUGUAGAAAUAACAGAAAGGACCGUUUGGAUUUGAGGACUCAUUGCAACAAACAGGCUCGUCCUCCCUACACGACACUACUCUAAGACCCCUAUCAUUUUCCCUACCAAGAGUACAUUUUUUAUAGCACUCGCUUUUCAUGUACAACACUAUCUGUUCGGAAGAGGUGUACAUAGAGGUUUCCUCUAUAAGAUUAUCAGGAGACCAGGGGUACAAGUUUUGGUAAUCCAUCACUAAGAGUAUCUAAAACAAGAAAAACAAACAAGUAAAAUACAAGCACACAUUCAGGCAGUGAAAGCAACACGCAUUCCAAAUUCAAGAAAGACGACGAAGCUAAACAAAGAUAACAAUCAUAAUCGAAUGAAUACAGAAAAGUCCUAGAAUAGAUUAUGUGUUCAUGAUGAAAGUGUUAAAUGAUACCAGUACAUAAGUCAUAAGUCAGGGAAGGUACCUUGAUUCAAAGAGUGAGUCAAGGCGAGGAGGUUGCCCAGGUUAAUGAAAGAAGUGCAGAGAGUUUGAGUGAAGGCGCAAAAGCUUUGUAAAGGAGAGAUGUAACAUUGAGAAACAACGAAGUUUUUCGAACGUUAAAAGGCACAUUGUUGGGAAGAGUAAGCGAUGUUGCCUUUCAGUCGUUGAUACGGGCCACGUGUGCAUUCAUGAUGAAGGGUGGUGAGAUGGCCACUCAGAAACGCUUCGUGCGUCGCGCCACACGCGCCACUACCCACAAGACAUGUAAGCAACCAAGGGCGAGCAAAUAGCCUCUUUGUUGAAGCAAGCUCAGCUCGAUCCUAGGGGGAUUGUGUAAUGGACCAGAGCGCUCAAAGCUUAGCGCUCGGAGGUCGAACCUCAGCAUUUGCCGUAGGCAGGUCAGGUCGGCUCUUGGGCUAUGGGAUUGGGCCCUAGAUGUGUGUGUUGGUUCCUUUUCGUGUAACCCAUUGCGCAUAAGGCCUAGGCGACUAAUGAGGGAUACUUUUGGACCUUGGGGUGUACUUAGUACGCAAGGGGUCUAGCUUAAGUGAACGUUUCCUUUUAAAACCUAAGCCCAUGUGUGAUAGGGCAUGCAGAGGUUAGGUUGCAUGUGUUCAAAAGAUAGCGUAGCACCACGCUGAGGGUGGCUACGUAAACAAAUUGAACCUUUGAUGCUGGUACAUGAGUUGGUACCCUGGUAGUUAUUCUGUUACACUAGUACAAAAAGAAGAAAAGAGCGCUCUUUAUUUAAUGCGGCUCUGCGCUUAAACGCAUUCGUAAAAAACACGGUGGCAUUUUUUAAAUUAAUUUGAUUUACAAAUGCGGUUGUUUGAAUAACCACAUUUGUAAAUCAAAAAGCUUAAUUUCCAAAUGUGGUUUUUACGUUUAGCCGCAUUUGUAAAUGCUUUUUACCUUAAAUGCUUUUUACAUUUAGCCGCAUAGUUUCUUUCAGUUCUUUCGUUUGCUCUGUUCAUCCUCUUCGUUUGCCUCUCGUUUGCGCACUUCAUUGAAUUGGUCGAAGAUAAAGGAGGCUUUUAUUAAUGGAGGAAAAGGACAUCCACCCUCAUAUUUGAAGUUCUUCCUCUAGUCUUCUCAAAAUUAAAAGAAGACAUAAAAUAAAGAUGAGGCCCAAGCCCAAACCCAAGAAGGCCAAAGCCCAAAGAGCCCAAGUCCAUCCCAUGAGGGGCAAGGCCAAGCUUUGAAAUACUCUUGUAUAGUUUUAGGAGGAGUGGUUAUUAAAUAAAGGAGUGUGAAAAUGUAAAAUAAAGUCACAUUACCCAUGUGACUUAGGAGAGUGGUGUAGGUGUAGUUUUUGGGAGGUGUCAUAGUAGAAAAAGGUCACACCUCCCAUGUGACUUGUUUUUGGUGGGAAUUUGAAAUGAGUUUAUUUGAAAUUUCCCACCUAUUUUUCAGCACCUCUAGGCUAUAAAUAUAGGUGCUUCCUUUGUAUUUUUCAGAAUGGAAUUUAUCUAAAGAAACUAUACUCAAAUUUGGAGUGAGCAUUGGAGAGCUUUUGAGCCUUCUUCUCUAGUCUUAUCUAGAAGGAUCCAUGGUGUCCUCAAGUGGCGGCAGCACACUCAUCUAGGAGCAACCACACUUCUAGUGGCGUGACCAUUCAUCAUUCAUCCAUCUUCAUGAGCAAUUCUCUUCUCCUUCAUUUCUUCUCUUUUAAUUGUUCAUGUUGUCUUGUUUUCUUGAGUUUUUGGUUCGGUUCUUUAGUUUUUCCAGCAGCUGUUAUUGUUCUUCUUUGUGUUUGGUUCGGUUGUUCUUAUUUUCCAGCAAGUACUUUCAGUUCUUUGCCUUUCAAUUACAUUUUGUUCGGUUCAUAUGUGUUCUUGUUCAAUUCUAUUCGGUGUUUUUAAGUAUUACCUCUUUUUGUUGGUUAAAUUUGAGAAUAUGAGGAACUUCCAUGUGAGUUUGGAUUUGGUGCUAGUUUUGGUGAGUUCUUGACUUAGAACAUUGAUCCAAUUCUAAGAAAAAGUGCCUAACAUUUGUCCAACUCAAGUUGAUUCCCAAGAAUGUCAAGAAUCAUUCUCUUCUAUGCUAUUGGAAUCACAUCAUCUUAAAUGCUUUUUACGUUUAGCCGCAUAGUUUCUUUCAGUUCUUUCGUUUGCUCUGUUCAUCCUCUUCGUUUGCCUCUCGUUUGCGCACUUCAUUGCAUUGGUCGAAGGUACGUAUAUUGAUUCCAGAGGUUCGCUUUCUUCCUUUCAAUCUUCACAUUGGCUUUCGUUUUUAAUGCCUUUCGUUUCCUUCCAUUGUUGGUCGAAGGCACUGUUUCAUUGGCGGCUCUCCGUUGCUGCUCCGCCACUGCUUCCGCUGCCGUUGUCGCCGCCGCUGCCGCUGUUCCUCUUGCUCCCUUACCACUCUUCACCACCAACUUGGUUCACGCACAAGGUUGGUUUUUAAAUUUUUAAAUUUUUUUUUUGCAUUUUUGUUUUGUUUUAUGUAUUAUAAUUUAUUGUGUAUUUUAAAUUUUAUAUUAUUUAGUAUUUAUUAUAUUUUGAAUUUGUAUGUUUUUUAUGUAUUAUAAUUUGUAUUUUUCAAAAUUUAUAUUAUUAUAAUUUAUAAUUUGAAUUUGUAUGUUUUUUAUGUAUUAUGUAAUUUAUAUUAAAAUUUAUAUUAUUUAGUAGUUAGUUGUUACUUUAUAUGUUAUAUUUAGCAAUAAUACGUUAUGGUAUUGAGUCCGAGGGUGUUCGACCCUCGGUAAACGCGUGAGAUAUAAAAAUUCUAAUUAUUCUAUAAUAUAUAAUGGAUAGAAAUUGGAUGAAUUAUGUUCGUAUAAUUGAGGAGAACGAAAGAGGAGUAGAAGAAUUUAUACAAUUUGCACAACGUAACGCGAUUAAUAGUGGUCAUGAUGGAGCAAAGAUUAGGUGUCCAUGCGUUAAUUGUUUGAAUGGAAGGAUACUGGAUGUUAAUAUAAUGAGGGAGCACCUGUUAUGUGAUGGGUUUCUUUGAUCUUAUACAACUUGGACAUGGCAUGGUGAAUUAUUAAAUUUACCAUGUGUUUCUAUAACUGAAGAAUGCGUGGGGUCCACCAUGGAUGAAGUAGUACACGAUGAUGUAGAUGAUGAUCGAUUGGAAGACAUGAUUCGUGAUGUAGGAGCUGAGUCUUUUACAAAAGCGCAUGGAUAUGAAAGUAUGUCAAGCGAUGCAGAGACUCCAUUGUAUCCUGGAUCAACUAACAUCACACGGUUGUCAGCGGUGUUAAGAUUGAUGAAUUUGAAGGCAAUAAAUGGAUGGACUGAUAAAAGCUUCACGGAAUUGCUUUAGUUGUUGAAGGAUAUGCUUCCAGAGGGAAAUACUCUACCUAAUCGUAAUUAUGAGGCCAAAAAGAUUCUUUGUCCAAUGGGUAUGGAGUAUAAAAAGAUACAUGCAUGUCCUAAUGAUUGUAUAUUAUACCGAAAAUAUUUUGAAUUGUUGAAAAGUUGUCCGAGGUGUCCGAGGUGUCCGAGGUGUCGGUUAUCACGUUAUAAGUUGAAACAAAAAGAUGAUGAUACUAUUGAAGAUAUAGAAAAGCAUGGACCCCCAAUGAAGGUUAUGUGGUAUCUUCCCAUCAUUCCAAGGAUGAAGCGUUUGUUUGCAAACCCAAACGAUGCUAAGAAUCUUAGAUGGCAUGUAGAUGAGAGGAAAUGUGAUGGCAUGUACCGACAUCCAGCUGAUUCUAUUUAGUGGAAGAAAUUUGAUGAUGAGUUUCCAGAGUUUGGUAAAGAAUCAAGAAAUAUCUGACUUGGUUUAGCUACAGACGGAAUGAAUCCGUUUGGUAAUAUGAGUACAAAUCACAGUUCAUGGCCUGUUUUACUAGUUAUUUACAACUUACCUCCUGGAUUGUGCAUGAAGCGAAAAUACAUGAUGUUGUCUAGGAUGAUAUCCGGUCCGAAACAGCCAGGGAAUGAUAUUGAUGUAUAUCUAAGUCCUUUAAUUGAAGAUUUGAAGUUAAUGUGGGACCAGGGUGUUGAAGUAUUUGACGGAUUUGCUAAUGAAACUUUCAAGCUUCAUGCCAUGUUAUUUUGCACCAUCAAUGACUUUCCAGCAUAUGGUAACUUAUCAGGUUAUAGUGUUAAGGGUCAUAAAGCAUGUCCAAUAUGCGAAGAAGACAUUGCUUCUCAACAAUUGAAAUAUGGAAGGAAAACAGUAUAUCUUCGGCAUCAGAGGUUUCUUAGAAGUCAUCAUCCUUACCGGAGGUUGAAAAAAAGCCUUUAAUGGACCCCAAGAGGCUAGUGGUCCACCAACUCCAUUAACCAAUGUUGAGGUUUACAAAAAGGUAAAUAACAUAGACCACAGGUAAGUAAAAAAAAAAGUCAUAUGUGACAAACAUUUGGAAGAAGAAAUCAAUCUUCUUUGAUCUUCCGUACUGGUCGAGGUUAGAAGUCAAACAUUGUAUAGAUGUAAUGCAUGUUGAGAAGAAUGUGUGUGAUAGCUUAAUUGGUACACUUCUUAACAUUAACGGGAAGACGAAGGAUGGUUUAAAUGCUCGUUUAGAUUUGAUUGAGAUGAACAUACGCGGCGAGUUGGCACCCAUAGAAAUGGGUAAGCGUACAUAUUUGCCCUCAGCCUGUUACACAAUGUCAAAAGAUGAAGAAAUUAGUUUUUGUCAAAGUCUAAAGGGUGUGAAAGGGCCACAAGGACAUUCCUCAAAUGUGAAGAGCCUGGUGUCAAUGCAAGAUUUUAAGUUAACUGGGUUGAAGUCUCAUGAUUGUCACAUCUUGAUGCAACAGUUGUUGCCGGUAGCUAUCCGUAGGAUCUUACCAAAAAAUGUUAGACAUACCAUAACCCGUUUGUGCUCAUUCUUCUCUUCCAUUUGUUGUAAAGUCAUUGAUCCAUCAAAACUAGAUGAACUUCAAAAUGAAAUUGUUGUUAUCUUGUGUGAAUUGGAGAUGUUUUUUCCUCCGUCUUGAUUCAUCUAGUGGUGCAUCUGGUAAGAGAGGUUAGAUUGUGUGGACCAGUGUACUUAAGAUUGAUGUAUCCUGUUGAGCGGUAUAUGAAAAUUUUGAAAGGUUAUGUGAAAAAUCAUUAUCGUCCAGAGGCUUCAAUGACUGAAAGGUACAUAGCUGGAGAAAGUAUUGAAUUUUGUUCAGAGUAUAUGACAAAAGCAAAUCCAAUAGGUGUUCCAGCUAAUUCAUGGCACCACAGGCGUUCUACAGGUAAAUGUUUACGUGGUGUUAAUAUUGUAAGCAAAUCUCGAUCAGAAGUCUUGCAAGCACAUUUGUACAUAUUGAAUAACACAGAUGAAGUUAUAUCUCACAUAGAAGCUCAUAAAGCCAUUGUGAAGGCAAAUAACCCAAGACAGGCAGAGAAAUGGGUUUUAAUGAAACAUAAUAGAACUUUCAUGCCUUGGUUUAACGACGAGGUGUUCAAGGAUUCAACGGCAUCAGAGACCUUGACCUGGUUGGCUGUUGGAUUGAAGUUUGAUGUCAUCUCAUGUACAACGUACAAAGUGAAUAAUAGUAUAUUUUACACGAAGUCCAUGGAUGAAAAGAGUACAGUUCAAAAUUCUGGUGUUACUCUUGAAGCCAAGUCAAUGCAGUUUUCGACUUCGAAAGAUACAAAUCCAGUACUUGGAUCAAUGGCAUACUAUGGGUUUAUAGAAGAGAUAUGGGAGGUUGACUACACUAAGUUUUUCGUUUCAGUUUUCAAGUGUAAAUGAGUUGACAAUAAAAGUGGGGUUAAAAUUGAUGAUUCAAGAUUCACACUAGUGGACUUUUGAAAGAUAGGGUAUCGAGAUGAGCCAUUUAUUAUGGUUCAACUAGCAUCUCAAGUUUUCUACGUGAAAGAUCCUACGUCAGAACAUUGGUAUGUCGUUUUACACGGGAAAAAACAAGGGGAGGCCAUAGAUGAUAUUGAAAAUGGUGACCCCCGUUCAUUCACACCAAUGAUAAUUAAUAAAGUUGAUGAUGUACUUGAUGAUGUACAUGCAACCCGUAAAGACCACAGUGAAGGAAUUUACAUAUGAACUUUCAACCCACAUGCAACCUGUAAAUAAGCAUUUAGAUUUAGAAUUUUAUGUAUUGUUUUUAUAAGAUUUUAAUUCGAUGCAGAUUAACUAAUGUUUGUUACCUAAUUUUUUUAACAGAGACAUGGAUGACGAUCAGACCCCACUCAGACCUCGAUCCGGACGAGGUAGCAAAGGACCUACUAGAUUGAAGCGUCUCGCAUUGAGACGUGCUGCUGGUGAGAAGACACGUGUUGACAUUGACGUCAACACUGGAGUGUCUUUUGGUCCUAAAGGAGAUAAGUUUAUGAGCUAUCUUGGAGUUGUUUCUCGUGAGAGGCUCUCCAUUCUGGUUAAUUUAUGGGAUGAGGUGUCAGAGGUCGACCGGAACAUGAUCUGGGAGGAUGUUCUGGUAAGCUUUACAUUUUGAUAUAAUGCUUUUUAAUAUUCAUUGAUUAAUUUUAAUUUGCUGAUGUUAUUUUGCAGACAAACUUUGAAAUUCCUGAUGUGGAACCGCUUCGAUCAAAGAUUAUAUCCAAUAUCGGACUUAAAUUUCGUACCUUUAAGUCAAGACUAACUUCGAGAUACGUUUUUGGCGACCUUAAAGACGAAAAUCCAUGUUUAAAGUACAAACAUAUUGAUGAAGAGACAUGGCGUCUUUUUAAAGAAAGCCGUCAAAAUGAGGAUUGCAUGGUAAGUGAAGUAACUUAACUUUUUUUGUUUAUAUAACAUUAAUAAAUUUAUCUUAUUUACUUCACUUUGUUUAUUUCAAUUAUGACAGAAUCGUCGGAAGAAAGCUCAAGAGAUUGCUUUGAAGAAUGUUACCCCGCACGUUAUGUUUCGUUCGGGGUAUCGAAAACUUGAGCAAGCACUGAUGGUGGAAAAGUAGCAAUCUAAACAGGGGACAUUGUCUGAGAAUGUGGAAACAGGGGUCACUUCUCCUCCAUCACCACCUUUUCGCCAUGUAAAAUGGAAGAGGGCCCGAAUUAAAAAGUUGGGUGCACCAAGUUCUGAGCAAUCCGGGGUUAUCAUUGAAAAAAUUGUAAGCUAUUUUUUUUUAUUUUCAUUUAUUUUAAAGCAUUAAUUAUAUUAAAAAUUGAUAUGAUUUUUAUCUACUCUUGCAGGAUUCCUUGAAAUCCGACGGUAAAUUUGUUGUUGAAGGUCGUCACGAUAUCCUGGUUGAAGCAAUUGGACGACCUGAGCAUUGUGGUCAUGUUCGUACAGCUGGACAAGGGGUUGGAAUUAAACUAUAUUUUGGAGUUUCAGAACGACAGUCAUCCUCCUCCUCCAAAGAGAACGAAACUCAAUUGAAGACUAAGAUACGUGAAGAAUUAAUGGAGGAGAUGAGAAAGGAGACUAAUUUGAUGCGGCUAGAGAUGAAAAAGGAGAAUGACCGAAUGCGACAAGAGUUUCUAUCACAACAACUUUGUGUUGAGCCGAUUGAACCCCUUGUUAGUCCCACUCCCAAUAGCACAAAGGGGAGUUGUGCGGCUCCUCCAACAUCAGGGGAUGAUAUCAUUGGGCAGACAAAGGAUUGUGAGCUACUGGUAGUGGGCGACAAACUUCCUCGAGUGGUGGCCCUUGGAAAAGUCUAUCAAGACACCACCACCUUACAUAACGUCCCUCUCUCGCUUGAUGUGGCGAAGGUAACAGUUGAAAAAGUACGAUUUCCUGAUGCUCGUGUUCCACUACCUUCAGAUGAGGUAACCACUGUGGCUGAUGCAUUUCAGACACUCGUUGCCUGGCCCAGAGACCUCAUUCGAUUUAUGCCCGAACCUCAUGUAAUAAUUUCAUUUCAUUAUAUUAUUUUUUAAUUAUAUUUAUAUAUUACAUAUAAUUUAAUACAAAUGUUCUUUAUCUUGUAGAAACAUUUUCGGGCACCAAGUCCGGAGAAGAAGCGUGAGGUUCCAAUUGACAAUCAUAUAGCUUCAUUAGGUCUCAUUGCUAGUCAGAUUGGUAAUGAACCUUUUCCAGUUCCGUGGGAUGAUACAUUUUUUCAAAUAAACACUGAACUGCCACUGAUGAUGUACAACACAGAUUUAUUAGAAUUUAUAUCUGGGAAUCAGGAACUCAAUAUAAGUAUAAUUCAAUUUUUUAUGAUAUCAGUAUCUUUACCUAUUAUUCAAUUUACUUUAUGUUAAAUUAUUAUUGAUUAUGCUUUAACUAAAAACUUGUAGGUUUUUGCAUAGAGUCUGUAUCACUGAGGGGAAGGAAAAUGUGUAUGGAUUCUUAAAUCCUGCAUAUACUAAUCACGUUGGACCAAGGUCAUUUGAGACUCAAGCAUACAUCACUAACACCCUGGAAAAAGAGGGAAAUUUUUUUUAUUUAUGCCCUUAUGUUAAUGAGUAAGUUUAAUUAUAUGUCAUCAAUUAUUACUAUUUCAUGUUUUAAAUAUUUACUAACUCUUUUCAUGGAUGAUAUAGGCAUCAUUGGCAGUUACUUGUCUUAUCAAUGGUUGAUAAGACUAUUGUGUGGUUAUUUUCCUUACACAAGAAGAUUCCCAUAAAAUUUAAGGAUAUCAUUGAUACGUAAGUACAAAUUUAAGGAUAUCAUUGAUACGUAAGUACAGUAUAAACUUAACUUUGUAUGUUACUAAUUAACCAUCUACUAACGAGGUUUUUUGUAUUAACCAGUUCAUGGCGUGGAUAUAACAUCCUAAAAGGUCGAUCCAGUUUAAAUAAUUUGAACUACAUAAGAAUAAAGGUUUGUAAUUUUUUUCUUUCUCUAUUAUCAUUGUUUAUCAAUAUACUAACAUAUUACUUUUUAUUGAAUUAUAGUGUAAUAAACAACCAGGAAGCUAUGAGUGUGGCUAUUACAUUAUGCAAUGAAUGAUUACCAUUAUAAGACUAGGUGUUAAAACUGGUUGGAAAGAGGUAAUAACAUGAUAUGUUAAAUCAUUUUUAUAAUUCUUGAACAUAUAUAUAUCUAAAAACUAAUUUAUGUCAACUAUAUUUUGCAAUGCAGUUAUUCACGGAAGAAACACCAAUGAAUUUGGAAGGAAUUUCAUAUGUCAGAGAUUCUUGGUACACAUAUUUCAUAAAUUUUUAUAACUCUAGCAUAGUUAAUCAAUAGUGUAGGUUUUAUUAUGUAAUUUGAUUACUUGUAAAUGUACAUUUUGAUUCUCUCAAUUUAUCUCUAUAUUUCUGUAUUUGUCUGGCUGGGUUUGAUCAUUAUGCAGGUUAAUUUAUAUGGUUUAGGGACAAUACAAAUUGCACUUUAAGAAAAAAACACUAUUUACAAAUGCAGUUAUUUACCAAAGUCGCAUUUGUAAAUCAAAAAACAAGAUUUACAAAUGCAGCUAUUACCAAAGUUGCAUUUGUAAAUGUGAUUUACGAAUGCGGCUAUUACCAGAGCCGCAUUCGUAAAUCUUAAACCCCUAAAACCUUAGCUCAUUCAGAAGAAUAUACAAAUGCGGCUAUUUGAAAUAACCGCAUUCGUAAAUCGCAUUUACGAAUGCGGCUCUAUAGCCGCAUUUGUAUCUCUCUGAUUUACGAAUGCAUUUUAUCAAAUGCGGCUCUAUAGCCGCAUUUGUAAAUGUAAAAUAGCCGCAUUUGAUUAUCAUUUUUGCGCUAGUGUUAGGAUUUUAUGCACUCUAUGAGGUGAAUAUUUCGUUCUGUUGCGACACUGUGAGGGUGUGCUUUGAGCGAAAUAUCUUUUUGUUGAGUAUGCUUUCAGUUGAGAUUAUAUUCUUGUGAUAGAAAGUUGUUACAAGAGUGGGCUAUAAAAGGGACUUGAGAUCUCAGGUAAAGGUAUGCUAUUUCUAAGACUGAAACUAGUUACUUCUUGUUUCUUAUUAGCCUUAUAUUAACUUGAUCGUCGAAGUGCAAUCAACAGGUAAGACCCCCUCUGUUUCAGUGGAGAUACGUUCCAGAGCAGCAAGAGACAGAUAAAGCUAGAGCUUGUGAUUGGAGUCAACUGGCGAGCAGGUCAAUCGGCAAGAACAAGAAUGAUAUUUGUUUUGAAUAUUAUUAUAAUUGUAAUUAGUUAUUUUCAAUUCUAAAUAAAAAUAAGAAUAGAGGGUUUGGCCAUCGCUAAAUCAUGUGUGGGCUAAGUUGACGCUACUUUGUGCGUGGGCUAAGCCGACACUACUUCUUUCGUAUGCGUGGGCUAGAUCGUCGCUACUUUAUCUGUGGGCUAAUUCGUCAGUACUUCAUGCGUGUGCAUGGGCUAGACCGACUUACUUUAUGUGUGGACUAAGCUGACACUACUUUAUACGUGGGCUAGGCUGAGCCUAACACAUACUUUGACCAACAUUAGUUAUCACUAUAAUUAUGAUUUCUUAAAAUUAUAUUUUAUCAAAAUAUUAUUUUUAUUAAGAUUAUUUUAUUUCAUUAUCAAUAGUUAUAUAAUAAAUCUUGAUAAGAAUAACUUUUUCCUUUAAUUUUUUAUUAUAAAUAUAGUUAUUUCUAUUUUAUAAUUAUUAAUAUAGGUAUUAUUAAUAUAAUUAUUGAUAAUAUGUUCAGAAUGUUGUUUUUAAAAUUUUGUUUGGUUGAACAUUCCGUUUGCAUUUGUUUUAGGUUCUUUUGAGUAAAUUGUUUUAUUUUUUAUUUUAAUUGAGUCUUAUUGUGUUUUCAAUCGAUGCAAAUAAAUUUGGUUGAGUCAUUUUAAUUUUUGAAUCAAUACAAGUAUUGUUUAAAAGUCAUGUUCAUCCAAAUUGUCAUCAAUUCUAUGUAGUACUUUUAUUGUUAAUUUUGGUUCUUUGAUUUAAUUUGAUUAGAAGUUUAAUUCUGAAUUUGAGUUUUGGUACAUUUUAAUAUUUUCAAAUUUGAGUUCAUACUUGUAGUUAGUUCCAUACAAGUUCAAUUUCCACUUAAUUCCAUUAUGUUUUCGAAGUUUUCAAUUAUGUUUUUAAUUCUAGUUUAGGAUUCCUCUAUUUUAAAGUUUAUGUGUUGGCUGAAAACGUUUAUUACAAUUAAUUGUGCCAAUGAAAAUUGUGAAAUUCUGGAUUUCAGUACAUCUAUGUGUUAAGAAAAAUUGAAAAAAAGAAGUACAUCAAAAUUCAAAAUAGAAAAAAAAUGACAAAUGAAAAACGAAUAGAGUAUAAAAAAAAUUUGACUCUGGAAAAUUUGAAUUCACAGUGAAUUUGAAAAAAUUAUUGGAAUUAAUUGGCGCACUGUUUGUGUGAAAUUCCAGUGCCAAUAUUGAGUUUGAAAAUUGAAGUUUAUGUGCUUCAAAUUUCAAGUCCAAAUUUGAAUUAAUCUGUCCAACUUAAAUUCAGAAAGUUGAGAAAAUUUUACACAAAAAAAAUUAUAGUGCAAUUUUUGUUUUCUUCAUUUAUUCUAGUGUCAUUCUAUAGGAUUCAGUUUGAGUGCUACCUUUUCUUGAGAACCUUAAUUUUUUUGCUUAUGAAUAUCUUGAUGAAUCCUUCAAGUCAUGUCAAUUACCAAAUCCAUUUGCACUAGUCCUUAUUUUUAAAUUUGACUUCUGUUGCUUUUAAAUUGUUUGGCCUCUCUUGGUGGAAGUGACCUAAUUUGCAUUGGUGAGUUGUGGAGCUGAAAUUUUGUUGUGCAAGCCACAUUACUAAAGAGGUAAAACUGAGUACCUUAGGUUGAAUAUCCUAAAGAGGCAAAGCAAGGAACAACAACAACCUCAAAAAAAUUACACAAAACACAAAACAAAAGGAGAUACAAGUUGUGGAGUGCAUAUAAUCGGUCAUUGAAAUUUUUAGUGCAUAAAAUUGUUGACCUAAUUUUUAUUGUAUUUCUUUGAGUUGUAAUUUGCAAAAAAUUGAUUACUUAGUGGAUUAAUUUUGUUUUUAGUUCGGUGAGUGUGUCUUCAAGGUACAAAGUGUUAGAAUGUAUGGCUUUAAACUAGAGGGGGGUGAAUGGUUUAAAGAGGGUUUUCGCAAACUUUUUAAGAUAGAAUGAAAUUCUUUGCAAGAAACCAGAUUUAGAAAUUCAGUUUGCCAAGAACAAAGCUCAAAACAGAAAAACACCACAAAAACAAUCGGUUGUUUAUACCAGUAAAAAUAAUAACAAUUGAAAUUAAAGAGUUUAAGACAGAAAUGCUCAAACAGUUUAUAUUGGUUCCCUCUUAACCCAAGAGCUACGUCCAGUUUCCCAGAAACCACUAGGGAAUCCACUAGGUAAUCCACUAGGUAAUCAAAUCCAGAUUACAUACACAUACCACCAAAGAAGUGACCUUAAUCCCCUUAAGACACACACUUCCUUUUGCUCAACACACACUCCACCAAGAAUGUUGAUCUUGACAACCCCAAGAGCACACAACCCUUCUUGGCUUUACAACACCAGAAUGUACACAAUUCUUUAGAACGAAUUACACUGUUACAGAAUCAACUGAAAUCAAUACAGAGUAAUCCUAUUCCACUUCUCUCUUGAAUAACCAAAGCUCAAAGUGAAAACUCAAAUCUUUGAAAAGCUCUUUGAAAAACUCAAAUAUGUUUUUCUUUCUUGUUGAUUGUUAUAAAACAUUAACAAACUAUUUAUAGUAUUCAAAUAUUGGUCAAAGCAUUUAAAGCAGGAGCAUAUUCAGUUAUGAAAUCAAUUAAAGCUCUUUUAACAAACAAAAUUGUUUCUGUUAGGAUUCCAAACAAACAAUCGGUUGAAAUAGCGAAUCAAUCGGUUGUUUUGGUUUGAUAGCAAGUCAAUCAUCCAAAAUAGUUUUCAAACAUUUUCAAAAACACCUAAGUAUAAAACAAUCGGUUGUUUCGACAAAACAACAGGUUGUUUUUCACUUAGUUUGAAAAACACUUUAAACUUAAAAGAUUUGAAAACACUUAAGCUUUAGAUUCAACAAAGAGUGGAUUACAAAUAUAAUCUACCCCAGAUCCUUUUCUAAAGCACCUCUACAACGUCAAGCACCUUCAGCCUUCCAUCAAACACAAAGGAUUUGGAUUCUUCAAAGCUUGAACACUCUUGAUUCAACAAUCUCCCCCUAUUUGAUAAGACAAAUCCCUGGUUGCUUGUGUUUAACUUGAUUGAAUCUGAAGCAGUUCCUGCAAAACAAAUUUUAAGCAAAGCAUCAUAUCUCUGAUAGUAGGUUAGAACAGUAAAACAAAACAUGUUUUGUUUAACCAAAACAACAGCCAAAAACCACCAAAAAUACUAGCAUAUCAGCAGAAUUAAAGUUCACUUAAAGAAAACAUAGAGUUUGCAGAAAAUAAAAGACAACACAGCAUAAAAUCUCCCCCUAUUUGUCUUCACAAAUAGACAAUAAGAAGAGAUAAAAAAAAGGCAAUUGUUCCAGAUUAUACAGAAUUUAAAAGAAAACAACACUUUUAGAUACAAGACAAAAACAAUCGGUUGUUUCGAGCCUUCAACCGGUUGUUUUUCUCUCUUCAGUCAUCUUUGCCAUACUAAAGCUCAAAAAUCUGGUUUUGAACAACUUCAAUAUUUUCAUCCAUGGUCAUAAAGAGAUUGUCCAUUGUCUGAAAUCUGUUGUCAAUGCUCAGGAAAUUGGUCACACAAAGAUCAUGGAGAUUUCUUUGAUUCUCAGCAAAGCCAUCAAGUCUAUUCACCAUGUAUCUUUCAAAGGAAGACAUAGAAGGAAUCUCAUCUCCUUGAUGUCCUGCACUGGUUCCAGCAUCAAAGGUAGCUGGAUGAUCUUCAUUGUGAAUGUCCAUGUAAGCAGCUUGACCUUCUUCAUCAAAGUUAGCAGUUGCAGCACUUGAUGAACCACAAUGAUCACCAUCUUUGCUCACCCAUCUUCCACUUAUUUUGGUGAAUCCCAUAUUGCUUAGAGAACCAUUAUUCAUUUAUUGUGUUGAUUUAACCAGCUUAGAGGUCUCAUCUUCAAGAUUCACUUCAAAAUAGAGCAAGAAUUUAUA